UCCGAUGGAUUUAAAGAAUGAAACACUUG
rnacentral:piRNA from 1 species